UCCACCCCCUUCUUCUUAGAUCAGGAUGACAAAACUACCUCGUCCUGCCGGGCUGUCUCUGGAAUUUGUCUGCCUGCGUGGAUUCCCAUAGGUAUGAUAACGAAUUUGAUUUCUCCUGUCAAUCUGCCUCGCGUCAGUUUAGUCUACGUCCAGCCAGAAGGGCUUCUGAAGAGGCCACGAAGCAGACUGAAGGACUACGCUAAAUGAGAUUAAAACCACGGAACUCAAACAGGAUGUGCAGAGACUCGAAUAAUGCACAUGCUCUCAUCCAUGGCUAUGAAGUCAAAUUCUAAUGCUGAAUAUAAAUUUUGUCGACAGUAUUUAUUAUUUGGGAUCAUGCUUGCUUCGCCUGGCAUAGAUGAUUGCAUUCUGAGGUACCGUGAAGCAUCCUCAUAGAUAACCCACGUCACCGGACUCGCGGAGAGAGAGGAGCGAGCCUGAGAAGGACAACGGCCUCCGACGGGCCGUGUAGCCACGUGGGCAACAUAAACGACUUUCUUAACAUGUAAAUCUGUUUAAAAGAUAAUUAGCCCCCAAUUUUGACAAAUGUGUCAUAGUACUAUGUUAAUAAAAGGCAUUUGGAACCAA